AGUGGUUCGAAAACGAGAGGUUUUUGUUGGAGGACAUCUUCAGAUGGGCCGGAUGUAGUCCGUUUUUUUAACUCCUAUGAUAAAAGUUACUUAUUUUACGUUUUGAAUAACUACACCAAAAAACAACAACGAGGAAAGGGUUAAAUUAGGUUUACUGAAAUCACAACGAUUACAGUUACAAUACCCCGAACUGGUGUAGGCCUAUUGCUUCCAUGAGCACUAUUCCCAAAACCUCCUCUUCACUGACUCUCAGACACAUCAGAGCAGUCGACGGACGACAAUGACGGAGGAAAAGCAUGCCAACAACUGUGUAAAAAAAAAAGGUACGAAAAUAACCGGAAGCAUCAUGAAAGGGGUCGUUAUUUUUAUUAUAAAUAUACAUUCGAUUUUGAUGAGUAGAACUGUCUGCAUAAACACAAUGUUUUGUUCUCAUUUUCACAACUCACCAAAGCCUGCCCCAGAGGCCAUGUGAUGCUUUUCGCUACUGUGGAAUCACCACUUAGUUGUUUAAACGAAUCAGACAUGAUAAAGGGAAAAGGGUGGUUUCGUGUUUGGCAUCACCGUGUUUUGGCAUCACCUUCACUUGGACGUGAAGCUUUCUUCCAGGGAGCAGUAUGUGACUGUAUUAAUGUAAUAGAACAGAAGAAAGCCCAAAUACCCUUAAAUCAUCGCCUAUUUAAAUGACAUGUAAUUUUCAAUCAGUUGGCCCAUGUUUGGUGGGAGCAGUUAUACUGUGUAGAGGUAGCUGGAUACGUACAGAGAUGUAGUCGUAACUAGGGAUGGGAAUUGAUAAGAAUUUCACGAUUCCGAUUCCUUAUCGAUUCUCUUAUCGAUUCUCAUUGGGUGAGAAAAUAAGUACAAAUGUGUUUGUUUGCAUUAAAUCUCUUUAAUAUCUGAUCAUAAGUGCGUCUAGUAUUAGGAAAUUGUACAUUUUCAAAUCAAUUGGUCUAGACAAAAAACUAUAUGUUUGGCUUUUUAAGCCCAAAUGCCAUCAUUAUGUGCCAUAUAACUAAAAACACAGACUGAAAACAGUCAAGUAAGACCUUGUGCCUUUUGGAAUGCUAACAGUGCUCAUUUGCAUUCAACUUGUAACAAAAUUCAACUGACAUAAACAAAAUGAAGCAUUGAUUAGACAGAGAUUUAUUAGAUGGGCCUACCUAAUAAACCGUUGGAACACACACGACCGGAAACCAUAGCAACGCCGGUAAACAAACCCCGAGAAGCCCAAUCCCUAUGAGAGCUCCCCACGCUACGGCCAUCCGGAGGCGCACAGA